rnacentral:snRNA from 1 species
UUGCUUCUCGGCCUUUUGGCUAGGAUCAAGUGUAGUAU